AGUCGUGAACGCAGUGGUUAGAAUAAUGGCCUUCGCAAAUGCAAAGCCAUGACAAUAAAUACAAUGGACAAUUAUUUGACCAAGUCAACAUGGAACCUUCUCAAAUACAUGACCAAAAUCAAGUGGGAACGCACUAAAGGACAAGGCUCCAACUUAGUGGAGUUAUGCAAGCUUGGUUCGAGGAAACUAGAUUUUGGAGAUAAAGGUAGAAAAAGAGUUGAAAACUUAUAAAGGUCUUACGGUCCCACUUACGGUCCAUUGGUAUCACCUACGACCACUGUAAGUGUCCACAUAAUUGUUAUAGGGCCCAAGUUCUGAGAAACUAAAAGUUGAAAAUUGGUCUGACAUUGACGGAGUACCACUUACGACGUGUAAGUACCACAUCUGCUACCAUAAGUGCCAACAUAGGUAUCAUAGAUUGAAAGUUCUAAUGCUCUAAAGUUUGAAGACUUUCCUGACAAUUAUGAGGAGGACACUUACGUGGCGUAAGUACCACUUAUGCUGCUGUAAGUGCCAUUGUGGGUAGUAUCCUGAAGACUUUGAAGAUUGCAAGACACUUAUGACCUAUUAGUGGGUCUGUAAGUAACCAUCGACCCUAUUUUCCUUGCUUAUUUUGGUUAGGAUUUUUAGGGUUUUGAUGUAUUCUAUAAAUAUCCUUUUGAUCUUUUGGUAUUAGUUUAUGCACUCAUUACAUUCACAAACAUAUAUUGAUUCUAAGAUUCGACUUUUGAUCUUGGAAUCCUUUAUUAUUGAUUAUUUGGUUGAUUAUUAAUUUGAGAUUUUGGAUAUUGUUCUAAAAUUAUUGUGAGAUU